rnacentral:lncRNA from 1 species
CGGCGAAAAGCGACUGGCCGCGAGCGAAAGCGAGCGACCACAGAAGCAAGCGACCGCGAAGAGAGCGUGGCCGCGAAAGAAAUGGAAGCGAGCGACCACAGACGCAAGCGACCGAUAAGCAAGUGGCCGCGAGCGAUAGUGAGCGGCCGCGAAGCUAAUACCCCGCGAGCAAAAGCAGUGAUGACCACGAGCGAGUGGCCGCGAACUGCGAGCGAGUGGCUGAGAAUGUUCGCGAAGGACCCCAGAAAUUAGCGCGCGUCCGCGAGGCCGCAUGACCGCGAGUCUUUGCGAGGAACGUUUGUCGCGAACGUGUUUCUGGCAAAAGAUGAGCACGCUUCGCCAGGGUCUUCCACCCACUCCUCGCGAGCGAAAUACAACGGGGGCGAAGUCGAUCUAAGGCCAGCG